rnacentral:lncRNA from 1 species
AUGCAGAUAAGCAGCAACGGGACCACAACCAGGGAUGGGACAAGUGUUGGGUACAAGAGAGGAACCGGGCUCUGGGUGACAACAAUGGGCACUGUAGUCUCGGGGACGACUGUACUUUCUGUGGUUGUGGUGGUGGUGGUGGUGGUGGUCGUCGUCGUGGUAGUAGUUGUCGUCGUCGUGGUAGUAGUUGUCGUUGUUGUUGUGGUCGUCGUCGUUGUGGUCGUAGUAGUCGUUGUAGUCGUAGUCAUCGUCGUCCUUGUUGUCGUCGUCGUCCUCCUUGUUGUCGUUGUUGUUGGUGGUGUUGUCGUUGUCCUCCUCGUUGUCGUUGUCGUCGUUGUUGUAGUCGUUGUUGUUGUAGUCGUUGUUGUCGUUGUUCUCCUCGUUGUUGUUGUCGUCGUCGUCGUUGUCGUAGUCCUCGUUGUUGUCGUCGGUGUUGUCGUUGUCCUUCUCGUUGUUGUCGUCGUCGUCGUUGUUGUCGUAGUCAUUGUCGUCGGUGUUGUUGUCCUUCUCGUUGUUGUUGUCGUCGUCGUCGUUGUUGUAGUUGUUGUUGUAGUCGUUGGUGUUGUCGUUGUCCUUCUCGUUGUCGUCGUCGUCGUUGUAGUAGUUGUUGUUGUAGUCGUUGGUGUUGUCGUUGUCCUUCUCGUUGUCGUCGUCGUCGUUGUAGUAGUUGUUGUUGUAGUCGUUGGUGUUGUCGUUGUCCUUCUCGUUGUUGUCGUCGUCGUCGUCGUUGUUGUAGUUGUUGUUGUAGUCGUCGUCGUUGUCGUCGUUGUUGUUGUAGUCGUUGUCGUCGUCGUCCUCCUCGUUGUCGUCGUUGUUGUCGUUGUCGUCCUCCUCGUCGUUGUCGUCCUCCUUGUCGUGACAGUUGUAGGCGCUGUGGUUGUGGUUGUCCUUGUUGUUGUGGUAGGCUUUGUGGUCGUUGUAGUCGUUGUGGGCUCUGUAGGCUCAUACUGUAGAGAGCACACGUGCCAAAGUCCUGGGGUUAGCCCGAGUGACCACUUCUUAUGCACCCAAAAUGCACUCCCCACACUAGACCCCACAAUUCCCCUUCUCCUCAGGUUGCCUCAUCUAUAG